rnacentral:piRNA from 2 species
UUACUCUGUAACUAAGGCUGGCCUCAGAC